rnacentral:lncRNA from 1 species
CAUUGUUAGAAUAUUCUCAAGGUUGGGAGAGCUGGGGAGUGUGGACGGUUUUUUGGGCCUGAAGGUUUCUUUCAAACCGCGGAGGUGCAUAAACUGAUCUGUGACUGGACUAAGGAUGGAAGGGAGUAGUGACGGUGAGGGUGGAUAUGAAGAUAUGGACUUAAAUAAUUGGACGGAAGUACGGAGAAACAAACGAGUUAGGAGUAAUAGUAGUAAAGAAAGCAGUAGUUCAGAUGGGAGUAAGGAAGGUAGGUUAGUGCGUAGGAGGGAGGUUGAAGAUGAGGGGUUUAAAGUAAUUAUGAGUUUCAAGGAAGGACAUGAUAUAAGAAAAGUGAGUCCGGUGGCAUUGACUCGCAAUUUGAAGGAGGAAAUUGGUGAAAUUGUGAUGGCGAAAGUGUUGGGAGAUGGUAGGUUGUUAAUUAAAUGUAAAGAUGAGAAGCAAAGGGAAAAGGCGAGGAAGAUGACUAAAGUGUGUGGCAAAGAGGUGGAGAAAGCCAAGAAGACAGGUGAUGGACCCUUUAUGAAAGGCGUUAUAUAUGGAAUCCCAGUUGAGGAAAAAUUGGAGGAUUUGAAGUCAAACAUAAGAGGUGGGAAAGUUAUUGAAAUUAAGCGUCUGCAAACAAGAAAAGGAGGAGAAAGGGUUGAUAGUUUGUCAAUAUUGUUGGUAUUUCAAGAGAGGGUGUUGCCGGAUAAAGUGAGAGUGGGUUACAUGAGUUAUAAUGUAAGAGCAUAUGUGCCUCCUCCUUUGAGAUGUUACAAAUGUCAAAAAUAUGGACAUAUUGCAGCUGGAUGUAAAGGAAAACAAAAGUGUGGAAAGUGUGGAGGGGAGCAUGAGUAUGGGAAAUGUGAGGAUGGGACAGAGAUUAAAUGUGCUAAUUGUGGAGGUGCACAUAUGGUGACAUAUGGGGGGUGUGAAGUGAGGAAAAGGGCAGUAGAAGUACAGCAAAUAAGAGAAUAAGGACAUAUCCUAUGCAAACGCAGUAAAGGUGGUUCAGAAGGAGNNNNNNNNNNAAAUUUAAGGGGGUCUGAAUACUUUCCG